UACGUAGGGGGCAAGCGUUGUCCGGAAUCAUUGGGCGUAAAGCGCGUGUAGGCGGUCCGGUAAGUCCGCUGUGAAAGUCGGGGGCUCAACCCUCGGAUGCCGGUGGAUACUGUCGGGCUUGAGUACGGAAGAGGCGAGUGGAAUUCCUGGUGUAGCGGUGAAAUGCGCAGAUAUCAGGAGGAACACCAAUUGCGAAGGCAGCUCGCUGGGACGUUACUGACGCUGAGGACGACGAAGCGUGGGGAGCGAACACGG
rnacentral:rRNA from 1 species